rnacentral:rRNA from 1 species
GACGUAGGGGGCGAGCGUUGUCCGGAUUCAUUGGGCGUAAAGCGCGCGUAGGCGGCCCGGUAAGUCGGAUGUGAAAUCUUCCGGCUCAACCGGAAAACUGCAUUGCAAACCGGCCUGGCUAGAGUGCAGGAGAGGGAAGCGGAAUUCCAGGUGUAGCGGUGAAAUGCGUAGAUAUCUGGAGGAACACCGGUGGCGAAGGCGGCAUCCUGGACCGGCAUUGACGCUGAGGCGCGAAAGCUAGGGGAGCAAACGGG